rnacentral:rRNA from 1 species
GACGAACGCUGGCGGCGUGCUUAACACAUGCAAGUCGAACGGAAAGGCCCUGCUUUUGUGGGGUGCUCGAGUGGCGAACGGGUGAGUAACACGUGAGUAACCUGCCCUUGACUUUGGGAUAACUUCAGGAAACUGGGGCUAAUACCGGAUAGGAGCUCCUGCUGCCUGGUGGGGGUUGGAAAGUUUCGGCGGUUGGGGAUGGACUCGCGGCUUAUCAGCUUGUUGGUGGGGUAGUGGCUUACCAAGGCUUUGACGGGUAGCCGGCCUGAGAGGGUGACCGGCCACAUGGGGACUGAGAGACGGCCCAGACUCCUACGGGAGGCAGCAGUGGGGAAUAUUGCACAAUGGGCGGAAGCCUGAUGCAGCAACGCCGCGUGCGGGAUGACGGCCUUCGGGUUGUAAACCGCUUUCGCCUGUGACGAAGCGGGAGUGACGGUAAUGGGUAAAGAAGCACCGGCUAACUACGUG